rnacentral:lncRNA from 10 species
GCCGGCGCCUGCCCUGCCCUGCCCGUCCCAGCCCCGCGGUUCGGGGCGUGCGGCCGGGACGCGCGGAGCCCCGGCCCUGACCCGCUGCGCCGGGACGGGACGCUCCUAACGCCGCCGUACCGGUCCGUGGUUGCAGGGUCGCUCCGCGCCUUUCCGUCAGUGAGGGUCGGAACCCCAGCUCCAGGGCUAGCGCAGUGUGGCCCCAGGCCCUCGCCUCCGGUGCACGGGACCCCGGACCCCCCCAGCCUCUGGCUUCACGAGACCCCAACCUUCAGUUGGAACAGCUUGGAACAGCGCGAGCGCCCGGGAAGCCCUGGCCGGGUCGUGCGCUCGGUGAGGGGUCCUAGGCGGGCAGGACAGUCGGACCGAACCGCCGGGCUGGUGCCGCGAGCCCAGGCUGUCACCUUCGUCCCGCCUCAGGUGAGGGGUUCAGCGCCUGCCCCGAAGAUAACACAGGGGUCCCCUUCUGUCCCGGCGGCCUGCGAGAGCCAAGGCUGCAGCUCUCCCAGUGAAGUGAUAUCACUGCCUCUGUGGACAAGACACCUCCAGGAGCCCAGCUCACAGCCACCGGUACCUUCUUCCAGGUAAAGAGAAAAGGAGGGAGGAAGAAAGGAGUUCAAGACAGACUGCAGAGGGCAGCUGACUGGGUUCUUACACAAUGUCCACCUCCCCCAUGGGGGAGUUUAUGAAAAAGGCAUAAAUGGGAUUAUCGUCCCAUUUUAUGGACAGGAAAAAACUGAAGCUCUGAGUAGACUUGUCUCUUGCUUAGUACAGCGUUCCAGAUACUUGUCUGAGAGCCCAUGAGGCUGAUGCCAUGGUUAUCCCUGCUUUAUAGAUAAGGAAGCUGAGGUAUAAAGGCAUUUAGAAACUUGCUCCAUUAAAUACAUGUUAGAGCUGGGUUUCAAACCCAGGCAGGUCGCCAGGCAUGGUGGCAUGCACCUGUAGUCCCAGCUACUUGGGAGGCUGAGGCAGGAAGAUUGCUUGAGCCCAGGAGUUCGAGCUGCAGUGAGCUAUGAUUGUGCCACUACACUCCAGCCUGGGCGACAGAGUGAGACUGUGUCUC